GCCCAUGGAAACCUGGAUUAAUACCCCAUAGUAUGUAGACUUCACCUGGAGAUUACAUUAAACAUUUAUGGCUUAAAGAUGAGUAUGCGUCCUAUUAGUUAGUUGGUAAGGUAACGGCUUACCAAGACCGCGAUAGGUAGGGGUCCUGAGAGGGAGAUCCCCCACACUGGUACUGAGACACGGACCAGACUCCUACGGGAGGCAGCAGUGAGGAAUAUUGGACAAUGGAGGCAACUCUGAUCCAGCCAUGCCGCGUGCAGGAAGACGGCCCUAUGGGUUGUAAACUGCUUUUAUACGGGAAGAACCACAUCUACGUGUAGAUGCUUGACGGUACCGUAUGAAUAAGG
rnacentral:rRNA from 1 species